rnacentral:rRNA from 1 species
GAUGAACGCUGGCGGCGUGCCUAAUACAUGCAAGUCGAGCGAACGGACGAGAAGCUUGCUUCUCUGAUGUUAGCGGCGGACGGGUGAGUAACACGUGGAUAACCUACCUAUAAGACUGGGAUAACUUCGGGAAACCGGAGCUAAUACCGGAUAAUAUUUUGAACCGCAUGGUUCAAAAGUAAAAGACGGUCUUGCUGUCACUUAUAGAUGGAUCCGCGCUGCAUUAGCUAGUUGGUAAGGUAACGGCUUACCAAGGCAACGAUGCAUAGCCGACCUGAGAGGGUGAUCGGACACACUGGAACUGAGACACGGUCCAGACUCCUACGGGAGGCAGCAGUAGGGAAUCUUCCGCAAUGGGCGAAAGCCUGACGGAGCAACGCCGCGUGAGUGAUGAAGGUCUUCGGAUCGUAAAACUCUGUUAUUAGGGAAGAACAUAUGUGUAAGUAACUGUGCACAUCUUGACGGUACCUAAUCAGAAAGCCACGGCUAACUACGUG